UAAAUGUUACUGUGGUUGAAUUUAAAAAAAAUAGGUGACUCUAGGACUAGCUGGUGUUCUCUGUUCUCUGGAUUGAAAACGAAAUUGUAAUAAACGAUAGGUUACUCCUUUGCCGCCAUUUCCCAUUUCAUUCCUCUUUUUUAUUUUGUUAAAAAACUGACCUGUCAGGAUCUGUCACAUUUAUCACAUUGUCAUCUUGCACAAGCGGCGAGUCAUUCAAAAUUCUAGUCUUCUCUCAAAAUCAAUAACAAUGUCUCUAAAAAGCGCUAAAGGGGUUCAAGUACAAGGGAAACCGAAGAAGGACAACAAGGGGCCAUGUCCGUGGCUCUGCAACAUGGUCCCUACGAAUGUCCCGGGGCCGGGAGCAGCUCAGUCCAUAUUGCACCCUCGGAAGGACGUGUUUGUUCUAAAGGUUGCCAAAGUGGGACCAACGGGUGAUCGUCGUUGUAAAAUGGAGCUUGAGCUAGUUACACCUAAAGGACCAGAGAAAAAACCGAUGUGUCGCAUUGACACCAGAGAGACACAGUGCGACCCUGAACCCCCACCAUGCUGCUGCAUGAAACCCAAAAAGAAGAGAAAGUGAAAUGCUCUACUAAUGUUAAGAAUAACCCAAAACCCCUAGGCCGAAAUGAAGUGAUUCCGAUGUAUAGUAACAUAAAAUAUAUGAAUAUAAAUUAACACCA